CUUCAUCCCUUUUCAGAUGGGAGCCAACAGCUCAGUGCUCACUGAUUUAAAGUUAGACACAUCUCGGGGGAAAAGCAACAGCCUUGUGGGAAUACGGAGGAGGAAGCUGGCCCAAAGAGCCCAGUAACUGCACCGUACUCAGCACAAUGCCCGGCACACCAUUCUAACAGCAGCAGCUAAAACUCAGUCUCUUACAGUCUCUGAAGUUCCCAGUAGUGACAUCUUCACGAAGACUGUUUCAUUUGAUGUCUGAGUUGCCACAUGAGCUUGGCUGAUUCCUCUUACAUAGGAUGGGACAAAGCUCUUUCAUUUAUUAGCGUACUUGGUGAGUGAACCACACUCACAUUUAGAAACAAAUCAGUCUGCCACAUUUGUACUGGAAGGAGCAGCAGAGGUCAUCAAGUUUGAGAGCUUCUUAGAAAUGUGGAGUAAGCAAAUCAAAAGACGAUGGUAGAAACUCAGCAAAAGAACACUGGACUGAAAUCAGAAGAGAAGCCUGAACUUUGUCUCAGUUACUUAUUUGGAAAGUUAUACAAACUCUUGACAUAAUCCCCUCCUUGACUGCUUUGAUCAGCGAGAGUGUAAGCAGGGGUUAGUGAAGGCCGGUGGCCUUCUGACAUGGAGUGAGUAGCAGGGGAGCCGGCGUGAAGGUUGUGCCUGCAGAGUCAGGGUCCAGCCACUGUCCACCCCCUCUCAUCGAUUUCUUGAGAAGUAACAUAAACCUAUGGGCUGUCGCACAGUUUGCACAAAACCAAAAUGUGGGCAAUUUAUACACACACCAGAAUGGCUGAGAUUAAAAAGGUAAAAAUAGGCCAGGUGUUGGCAAGGAUAUAGAGAAACUAAAACUCUUUCUCAGAGCUGGCAGAACUAGAGAUUGAUGUAGUCACCUUGGGAAACUGUCCAUAUUCAUUGAACCGCAACAUGUGACUGUCCUAGUGUGUAUACCCUAGAGAAAUGAAAGCAAAGGUCAGGGGCUAGGAUGUCCAUAGCAAUAUUAUUCUUCGUGGUGGCCCCAACUGAGUACUACCCAAUACUCAUUAUGAGUAGGAUAAAUACAUGGUAGUAUACUUAUACAAUGGCCAGUGAAAAUGAGCUAACUGUAGUUCCACAUGACAAGAUGGGUGAAUCAUGUGGAUAUAGUGUAGAACAAAAGAAGCCAGAUACUAGACUGGAUAGCACCCAUCUCUGAUAUUAGGGAUUAGGACAGGAGUGUAACUCAAAGGAAGCAUGAGAGGACUUCUAGGAUGAAGUUGGUAUCUUGUUUCUUGAUCUGGGUGCUGAUUAUGGGUGUGAUUUGAAACACCAUCAAGCUGUACACAUUUAGGAUUUGUACAUUUUUCUGUGUUGUGCUAAGCUUUGAUUAAAAGCUAGGCUAACAAAGAGAACCAAAUACAACUCAGGGGUGAGCUCCACUGUGAGGGGCAGGGUGCGCUAUCCCGAGGAUGCCCCUGCCCCUGAAAGCCUAGCCAGCUGCUCUCUCCAGCCUUACGCAUUGGGAAGGUGGGCCUUGGGUCCCAUGCUGUGGCUGUGGCGGAAGAGGUCACACCCGGCGGUGGGGGGGGCGGCUUGCUGCUCUUGUGCUCCACCUCCUUAUGCCUGCGAGUCUCCUGCUUUGGAUACACCAGCUCUCUCUGGCUGCUGCUCCUUUGGAAGCCAUCUUCCCUGGACUCGCAUCUGCUGCAAUCAGGCGCCGGUCCACAGCUGCUUCCAUCCCAGCCCCAUGUCCAUCAUGGGGGCCCGGAGCACACGGGACAUGGAGAUGGCAUGUGUCCAAGGUACAGGCACCUCCAUGCGGAGGGAGGGGCAAAGACUCAUAGACCUUUCCCCACCCGGGUUUGCAGGCCUCUGGUAGGGUGCUGGUAGGUGUCACUUGGAUGAACAGCUUGUAAUAAUUGCUAUCAAUGUACAGUGGUACCUCGGUUCACUUAAUGCUUUCAUUUGCAAACAAUUUGGUUCGAAAACAGAGGCGUUAGGCAAAAUUUUGUUUUUGUUUGCAAACUUUGCAUCCGGUGACAAACACAGUUAUGGCCAUCUUACCCACACAAACACAAACGUGGCCAUCUUGUCCGUAUUGUAGAACAAAUUAAAUUUGUGAACGAGGUACCAGUGUGUCUUGUUACAUAUUCGGAAAGAAUAUAAUCCCUACAUUAAACCCACGACUUCACAUUUUUAUUGUUUACAACAAUGUUACAGUUUUCAAAAAUGAGUUGGUUUCAGUUUGAUUUAAGUAUUUGUAGGUGUUCUAUGAGGAUAUAGCAGAAACCAUGGAGGUAGACGUUUGGGAAACUGAGGCCAGAAAUGGAAGGCGCAACGACAUAAUGCUCUUAAUUCCUACACCUAUCCCUUACUUCAGAACCCCGAGGUAUCACAGGAGAGAGGUUUCCUUAAGAGACAGGUCUGCCUAGAAUGGGAGGUUAAGGUAUGACCACCAGCCCUGGUUCCAGAUGAAGGAUCGGGGACCCUGGCAGUGAUGCGAAUGUGGGGCUUCAAGCUAGACUGGCCUGGGGUCCCAACCUGACUCCCCAUUUUCUUGCUGUGUGACAUUAAAUAAGUCACUUAAUCUCUCUGAACUUUAGGUUUCUUACCUAUAAUGAAACCCUUUUACCUGAACCACAGGUGGUUAUGAGCCCAAAAGGAGGUGAUCAAGCCCCAGAGUUAGGCCAUCUCCUUCCCUGGAGAGGGAAGGGGACUCACAAAGGGCCUCAUACAGAGGCAGAGCCAGCCCUGGAACCCAGGGCUCUCUGUUCUCACGUCCAUGUCCUUUGCUCUGAGGAACCAUUCUUCUUCAGCCUGGUUCUGUGAGUCUUUCUUCCAGGGACACAGCGCUGGCUGGGAGAACUUUCCCCCAGCACCAUGGUUUGCCCUGGUCUCUGCUGGGCUGCUCUGGCUUCCCCAGUGACUUCAGGAGGC
ensembl:lncRNA